rnacentral:rRNA from 1 species
AUGCUUUACCUUUCAAUUGCACUGGGUCUUGGGGAAAAGAAAAGCAGUAUCAACAGGCGUUCUUAUAUGAUGGUGAUAAUGCAUGCCGAUUUGAUAUUUGAAGAACUUGCACAUCAGUCAAAAUGUAGGAUUGAAAGAUCAAUGAAGUUACAUGGAGAACUGAUGAAUGAAAAUUGCCUCACUGAAGAAAGGAAGAAAAAACUUAUCCAGACAGAUAAAUCAGUGGAGAAAUUGAUGUUGACAAUUGGCACUGUCAAGGUUCUGCGUUACACUCAAAAAAAUGAGGUGGAGGGGGGUGAUCUGUUAAAUGAAACUGUUUCUUGUCUGGACUUGUUUUAG